ACUUAAGCAUAUCAAUAAGCGGAGGAAAAGAAACCAACAGGGAUUGCCUUAGUAACGGCGAGUGAAGCGGCAACAGCUCAAAUUUGAAAGCUGGCUCCUUUGGAGUCCGCGUUGUAAUUUGUAGAGGAUGAUUCGGCAAGGGCUCCCGCCUAAGUCUCCUGGAACGGAGCGUCAUAGAGGGUGAGAAUCCCGUAUGCGGUGGGCUGCCUAAGCCAUGUGAAUCUCCUUCGACGAGUCGAGUUGUUUGGGAAUGCAGCUCUAAAUGGGAGGUAAAUUUCUUCUAAAGCUAAAUACCGGCCAGAGACCGAUAGCGCACAAGUAGAGUGAUCGAAAGAUGAAAAGCACUUUGGAAAGAGAGUUAAAAAGUACGUGAAAUUGUUGAAAGGGAAGCGCUUGCAGCCAGACUUGUCCGCAGUUGCUCAGCCGGUCUCCUGACCGGUGUACUCUUCUGCGGCCAGGCCAGCAUCAGUUCGGGCGGUCGGAUAAAGACCUCGGGAAUGUAGCUCCUCUCGGGGAGUGUUAUAGCCCGGGGUGGAAUGCGGCCAGCCUGGACUGAGGAUCUCGCUUCGGCUAGGAUGCUGGCGUAAUGGCUGUAAGCGGCCCGUCUUGAAACACGGACCAAGGAGUCUAACAUCUAUGCGAGUGUUUGGGUGUCAAACCCAUGCGCGUAAUGAAAGUGAACGGAGGUGGGAACCCUCACGGGUGCACCAUCGACCGAUCCUGAUGUCUUCGGAUGGAUUUGAGUAAGAGCAUAGCUGUUGGGACCCGAAAGAUGGUGAACUAUGCCUGAAUAGGGUGAAGCCAGAGGAAACUCUGGUGGAGGCUCGCAGCGGUUCUGACGUGCAAAUCGAUCGUCAAAUUUGGGUAUAGGGGCGAAAGACUAAUCGAAC
rnacentral:rRNA from 1 species